GAUGAACGCUGGCGGCGUGCCUAAUACAUGCAAGUCGAGCGAACAGACGAGGAGCUUGCUCCUCUGACGUUAGCGGCGGACGGGUGAGUAACACGUGGAUCACCUACCUAUAAGACUGGGAUAACUUCGGGAAACCGGAGCUACUACCGGAUAAUAUAUUGAACCGCAUGGUUCAAUAGUGAAAGACGGUUUUGCUGUCACUUAUAGAUGGAUCCGCGCCGCAUUAGCUAGUUGGUAAGGUAACGGCUUACCAAGGCAACGAUGCGUAGCCGACCUGAGAGGGUGAUCGGCCACACUGGAACUGAGACACGGUCCAGACUCCUACGGGAGGCAGCAGUAGGGAAUAUUCCGCAAUGGGCGAAAGCCUGACGGAGCAACGCCGCGUGAGUGAUGAAGGUCUUCGGAUCGUAAAACUCUGUUAUUAGGGAAGAACAAAUGUGUAAGUAACUAUGCACGUCUUGACGGUACCUAAUCAGAAAGCCACGGCUAACUACGUG
rnacentral:rRNA from 1 species